UAUAUAUAUAUAUAUAAAAGGGGUAGAAAUAUGUUGGAGGCCGAUGCACAUAGGAAGCAGAUGCAUGCAGGAGGGAUGCACGUUGGAUGAAGAACUAGGCAUUUUGAGGGUUAAAUGACUCUUCCUGAGCCGGUCGAUGAGACAGAAAAUUAUAUAUUGGGAACAGGAAAGCAGCUUGGAUUCCACAACUUCAAGAACAAUACUGUGAAUUUAAUUUCAAGCCAAAAAUUAAUGUUAUUAGCCAAUUCCCCCCCAAUGUGUCCUGGGGGAUGGGGUACCCUGUGCACAGAGACAGGCGUGUGUCAGUGUCUGUCUGUCUGUGUUGCACAGGGGCGCCGGGGGUGGGUUGGUUUAAUGUUUCGCUGCUCUAAAACUCAAUUUUCAUCUCUUUUUUUGGUAUUUUGUUGUUUGCUUCCAAUUAGCGGAUCUGGUUUUACUUACGGAAUAGAAAGCAGAACCAGAGAUUAGUUUAACAAGCAGCAGAGUAGGAGGAGAAAUGUGUUGGUAUAGUGAGGGGCUGUUUGUAUAGUGUUGUAUUUUUGCCCAAACUGGUGUACUUGUGUCCCUACUGUUGUAUUUGUAAACCAAACUGGUGUACCUGUGUCCCAACUGUUGUAUUUGUGCCCAAACUGUUGUACCUGUCUCCACAUUGUUGUAUUUGUGCCCAAACGGGUGUACCUGUGUCCCUACUGUUGUAUUUGUGACCAAACUGUUGUACCUGCUUCCCUACUGUUGUGUUAAUGCCCUAAAUGUUGUACCUCUGCCCAUACUGUUAUAUGGGUGGCCAAACUGGUGUACCUGUGUCCCUGCUGCUGUACUUGUGCCCAAACUGUUAUACAUGUCUACACAUUGUUGUAUUUGGGCCCAAACUGGUGUACCUAUGUCCCUACAGUUGUAUUUGUGACCAAACAAUUGUACCCGUGUCUCCAACUGUUGUAUUGGUGCCCAAACUGUUGUACAUGUCUCCACAUUGUUGUAUUUGUGGCCAAACGGGUGUACCUGUGUCCCUACUGUUAUAUUUGUGACCAAACUUUUGUACCUGUUUCCCUACUGUUGUAUUUGUGCCCAAACUGUUGUACCUGUCUCCACAGUGUUGUAUUUGUGCCCAAACGAGUGUACCUGUGUCCCUACUGUUGUAUUUGUGUACAAAGUGUUGCACCUUUGUCUAUACUCUUACUUGAAUGGGUGCCCAAACUCUUGUACUUGUGUCCACACUGUUGUAUUUGUGCCCAAACCGUUGUACCUGUCUCCACGCUGUUGUAUAUGUGGCCAAACGGGUGUACCUGUGUCCCUACUGUUGUAUUUGUGACCAAACUGUUGCACCUGCUUCCCUACUGUUGUAUUUCUGCUCUAACUGUUGUACCUCUGCCCAUACUGUUGUAUGGGUGGCCAAACUGUUGUACCUGUGUCUAUACUCUUGAAUGGGUGCCCACACUCUUGUUCUUGUGUCCACACUGUGGUUGUGUGUUGUAUUUGUGCCCAAACUGUUUAACCUGUCUCCACACUGUUGUAUUUGUAAACCAAACUGGUGUACCUGUGUCCCAACUGUUGUAUUCGUGCCCAAACUGUUUUACCUGUCUCCACACUGUUGUAUUUGUGCCCAAACUGUUUAACCUGUCUCUACACUGUUGUAUUUGUAAACCAAACUGGUGUAUCUGUGUCCCUACUGUUGUAUUUGUGACCAAACUGUUGUACCUGCUUCCCUACUGUUGUAUUUGUGCCCUAAAUGGUGUACCUCUGCCCAUACUCUCGAAUGGGUGCCCACACUUUUGUGCUAGUGUCCACACUGUUAUAUUUGUGCCAAAACUGUUUUAACUGUCUCCACAUUGUUGUAUUUGUGUCCAAACUGGUGUACCUGUGUCCCUACUGUUGUAUUUGUGACCAAACUGUUGUACAUGUCUACACAUUGUUGUAUUUGGGCCCAAACUGGUGUACCUGUGUUCCUACUGUUGUAUUUGUGACCAAACUUUUGUACCUGUUUCCCUAGUGUUGUAUUUGUGCCCAAACGGUUGUGCCUGUUUCUCUUCUGUUGCAUUUGUGACUAAACUUUGUACAUGUUAACUUCCAUUUACAUUUGUGGUCAAACUGUUGUACCUCUUUCCCUACUGUUGUAUAUGUGCCUACACUGUUGUACCUGUUCCCCUACUGUUGCAAUUGUGCCCAUACUCUUGUACCUGUUUCCCUACUGUUGUAUUUGUGCCCAAACUGUUGUACUUGUUUCUCUACUGUUAUAUUUGUGAACAAACUGUUGUACCUCUUUCCCUACUGUUGUAUUUGUGCCCAAACUGUUGUACAUGGUUCCCUACUGUUGUAUUUGUGCCCAAACUUUUGUACCUGUUUCCCUACUUUUGUAUUUGUGCCAAAACUGUUGUACCUGUUUCCCUACUUUUGUAUUUGUGCCCAAACUGUUGUACCUGUUUCCCUACCUGGCCCGGAAUGGCAAUCUGUGGGUUCUGGCAAAUCCCAAAGGGGCUGCUAUAAGGUGCCAUAGAAAGUCAGUAUUUAGUGGGCUGGUGGGGGCUGUAUGGGCCUCUGUAAGGGCUGAUUGGGCCUCUGUAUACCCGAAAUGCCAUGGCCUAUUUUCAUUCUCAGUCCGGACCUGUUCCCUACUGUUGUAUUUGUGCCCAAACUGUUGUACCUUUUCCCCUACUGUUGUAUUUGUGCCCAAACGGUUGUGCCUGUUCCCCUACUGUUGCAUCUAUUACCAAACUGUUUUACCUCUUUAUCUACUUUUGUAUUUGUGCCCGAACUGUUGUACCUGUUUCCCUACUGUUGUAUUUGUGCCCACACUGUUGUACCUGUUCCCCUACUGUUGUAUUUGUGCCCGAACUGUUGUACCUGUAUCCCUACUGUUGUAUUUGUGCCCACACUGUUGUACCUGUUCCCCUACUGUUGUCUUUGUGCCCAAACUGUUGUAACCAUUUCCCUACUGUUGUAUUUGUGUCCAAACUGUUGUGCCUGUUUCUCUUCUGUUGCAUUUGUGACUAAACUUUGUACAUGUUACCUUCCAUUUACAUUUGUGACCAAACUUUUGUACCUCUUUCCCUACUGUUGUAUUUGUGCCCACACUGUUGUACCUGUUCCCCUACUGUUACAAUUGUGCCCAAACUGUUGUACCUGUUUCCCUACUGUUGUAUUUGUGACCAAACUGUUGUACCUGUUUCUCUACUCUUGUAUUUGUGCCCAAACUGCUGUACAUUUUCUCUACUGUUGCAUUUGUGACCAAACUGUUGUACUUCUUUCUCUACUGUUGUAUUUGUGACCAAACUGUUUUACCAUUUUCUCUACUGUUAUAUUUGUGACCAAACUGUUGUACCUUUUUCCCUACUGUUGUAUUUGUGCCCAAACUGUUGUACAUGGUUCCCUACUGUUGUAUUUGUGCCCAAACUUUUGUACCUGUUUCCCUACUGUUGUAUUUGUGCCCAAAUGUUUGUGCCUGUUUCCCUACUGUUGUAUUUGUGCCCAAACUGUUGUACCUGUUUCUCUACUCUUGUAUUUGUGCCCAAACUGCUGUACAUUUUCUCUACUGUUGCAUUUGUGACCAAACUGUUGUACUUCUUUCUCUACUGUUGUAUUUGUGACCAAACUGUUUUACCAUUUUCUCUACUGUUAUAUUUGUGACCAAACUGUUGUACCUUUUUCCCUACUGUUGUAUUUGUGCCCAAACUGUUGUACAUGGUUCCCUACUGUUGUAUUUGUGCCAAAACUUUUGUACCUGUUUCCCUACUGUUGUAUUUGUGCCCAAAUGGUUGUGCCUGUUUCCCUACUGUUGUAUUUGUGCCCAAACUGAUGUACCUGUUUCCCUACCUGGCGCGGAAUGGCAAUCUGUGGGUUCUGGCAAAUCCCAAAGGGGCUGCUAUAAGGUGCCAUAGAAAGUCAGUAUUUAGUGGGCUGGUGGGGGCUGUUUGGGCCUCUGUAAGGGCUGAUUGGGCCUCUGUAUACCUGAAAUGCCAGGGCCUAUUUUAAUUCUCAGUCCGGACCUGUUCCCUACUGUUGUAUUUGUGCCCAAACUGUUGUACCUUUUCCCCUACUGUUGUAUUUGUGCCCAAAUGGUUGUGCCUGUUUCUCUACUGUUGUAUUUGUGCCCAAACUGAUGUACCUCUUUCCCUACUGUUUUAUUUAUGUCCUUACUGUUGUACCUCUGUCAAUAGUGCUGAAUGGGUGCUCAAAUUGUUGUACCUGUGUUCCUGAUGUUGUAUUUGUGGCCACACUGUUCUACCUGUGUCAGGGAAUGGGAAAAGACGGAUCAAUAUGUGUUAUAAGAUUGUGAGGGGAGGUGAUUGGUUUACUGAGUAAAGAUGACUGCUGAACAGUGAGAGAGUGAACAUUUAAGUAAAGCAAUGAAUAUUAUUAUUAACAUGUAUUUAUAUAGCGCCAACAUAUUGCGUAGCAAUAUAUGAGAGGAAACAAGACACUGGACAGUCGUUUGAAAACUUUUAUUUCCCAGAUACACAAGGAUGAUCCUCUUGCGUUGUAUACUGACAUACUUGUGCACACGCUCAUAGAGCUUGGGGUGAGUAUUGGCACUGAGCAGGGCCAUAAUCAGUAUUCAUGUGACCCCAUGCCCUACUAAUUUAACUGUGUCUCCCUCCCAGGGGGCCCGGUUAUUAUUACCUAUCAUCUGGGCCCCUGGGCUGUGGGCCUGAUUAACAAGUAUAAAAGAAAAUGAAGGCCCCGUGCACACCAGACCCUGAACUGCCCCAGACAGACCCCAUUAUGCUGAAACCAAACCCACAAUGUACCCAUACCCCACAAGCUCCAUCCCUUUGCACUCUACAACCUGACCCUUCAUAUCUAUUGGGGGCCCCUCUGCCGCAGGGCCUGACUGUAGUAACCCUUGACUCCCCCUGAAGGCAGAUCUGGCGCUCAAUAUGCCUUUGUGUGUGAUAAUACCCCUGAUCUCCAUCAUUUGCCCCAGCGUGGGAUCUGUGGUACAAUAAUGUCCCUGAUCUCCAUCAUUUGCCCCAGCAUGGGAUCUGUGGUACAAUAAUGUCCCUGAUCUCCAUCAUUUGCCCCAGCAUGGGAUCUAUUUAAUAAAAAUAGAAACACUUUUCAAGAAAGUCAAAUUUUCUUUAUGUAAAAAUACAAAAAAAUAUAAAACACAAUUAACAUGUGACUCCAGGUCAUUACACUACAGAGUGGGGGACUGCCUCUCUGCUCUUCUUCCUCAGGUCUCUGCCCGGAGUGAAUGGGGAUUCAGGAUUAUGUUGGUCAUGUGGACGGGUGAAGGUGGAUCCCAUAAUUACUUACCUGCUGUACCUGACUGCUGGCAUCAUUGAGUGAAUAUUUUAGGUAUACUAUUUGACCAAUGCUGCACUGUAUGUGGCAAAACAUGGAGUAGCGCAAUCAAAGAUAUUUGCAGGUAAGAGGUUAAGAUGAAACCCCUUGUGCACUGAGCAUAAUGUAGAUUUAAACAUUACAGUAGGAGCUGUCAUACUAGUGUUAUCAUUUAGGACAUUGAACCCUGGCGUUUAUGUUUUGCAGGAAGCUGAAUGCCGAGGUGUGUGUCACCCCACUGCUACUUAUAUUCCGGAAAGUCGCUGAAAGUCACCUCAAGGAAGCCACCAAAUGGAGACGAAAGCCACCAAUUGGAGCUAAAGAUGCCGAAAGGAGUUGAUGUUUCCGAAUGGAGCUGAAGAAGAGGAGAAUGAAAAAGACCUUUAAAGAUUUUUGCUGCGUGUAUAUACCAGCGAGUGCACUGAGCAUCCAGCCAUCAAGCCAUGAAGUGGAAUGGUGGGAAGGUCCCAGGAAUAACCAUUAUAAACACAAUCUUUAGGCCAUUAACCCAGUGUGAGAAUGCUUGGUGGAGAAUCCAUACCUGCAGGAGGAUUGCUGUGUUUAACUCACAGCCAGACCCACAUCUUCUCAACGAUGGAGUAUGCAAGUGGAGGAAGCCUUGAGAUGGAGAUCAGCAAGAGGUGACACCUGAAAAUGAGGAAAGUGAUGUGAGUAUUUUAUGCAGAAAGAUUAGGUACAGUGGGUAAAAAGUACUUCAAACUGACAUGCAAUAUUCCACCAUGUAUUUUAGCUGCCCAAAACUCUCCACAUUCCAUUACAAUGUAAGGUUCAUGUGCUCCCCUAUGGCACAUCUGCACAGCAAGAUGAAUGUGACUUUUCAAGAGAUAUUCACUCAUAGCGCCUUUCCCAUACACCACAAUGGCACCUGCUCACUAGUGGCUUUGAUAGGUAUUGCAUUAAGUGCUGUAUAAUGUAUUCGUUUCUCACGUACAAGCUACUCAAGAUAACAUUUCAGUUGUGUUAUCCAUGACAAUUAUACCAAUUACAGUGAGCCCUAAGGGACAUGUGACUUAAUUUGUUAUACACUAUAGCAACUACUAACGCCAAAUUCUAAGCAUCUGAGGUUCACAAAAUAUUGUAUUUUGAAAAGCUUCUACUGGUCAGAGAUGAUUUGUGGACUGCAUGAUCUACAUUUCCAUGGCAUUAUCCAUCGGUAAGUAAAAUUAUGUGUGUUCUCUAGAAACAUAUGGAUAUAACAUUGUAUCUAGCCAUGGGUCUAACCCUCCUGCUGAUAUGGGACCUGUGUUCCACAAGCAGCAAAUUAUAUUACUACAAUUAAUUAUAUUAUUUAAUUAUACCAGA